rnacentral:pre_miRNA from 1 species
UGGUACGGGGUGCUGUGCAUUGUUGUCCUAUCACCUACCAAUAUUGCACUCGUCCCGGCCUCC